AGGGGCAGGAGCCAACAUUCUUGUCAGCUUUGCAAAAUUUUGUUACAAUAUUUAUUUUACUGAAGGUGACUUCUUGCUUCUUUAACUAAGAGAUUUAAUUCCAUGGAAAACCCCUCAGACAGUUAUGGAUCUUAGUAGAAUCCACAGGAAAAGUCUGCUCUUUUUUCUUUGUAAAUCAAUGCAAAGAGAAGAAAAUGAGACCUAGAUUUGGAUAUUAACCAUUCUUAAAAGUCUAAUCACUUAAUUUUUGUUUCUGCUUGAGAAAAGCUCUUUCCUGAAAACAAAAGCCAGACAACUGAUUAACUGAAAAAUAGGCCUAUGUUAUUGAUAAAGCCUCAGAGGUGAAGUAAUAUAUGUUAUCCUAAAUUUCUCUUACCUUGCAUCUUCCUGGAUGCUGGAAGAUGUGCACAUUUUGGAAUGCCUCAGACCAAGGCAUCACAUGUCUGUGUCCUGGAUUGCUCCUUCCACACUUCAAAGUAGAUAGCUGAGCCAUCUUCCCAGAGCUGCUGCACAGAGCCUGGUGCAGUGGGAUGGUGGAGCUCGCCUGGAGCAGCAGCUGGAAGUGGAGCAGAACUGCACAUGAAAUGGAACAGGCCACACACACAUCCUGGGCACAGUUGUCCUGCCUUUACCAGAUGGGAUUCAUUUUAAUACUCUUAACUGAAACACUGACCCUUCUCCUCCACUCCAAAUCACAGGAUAUUCUGAAGAAGAGACCCACAAGGAUCAUCAAGUCCAGCUCUUAAGUGAAUGGCCCAUACAAGGAUUAAAUCUACAAACCCUGGUGUCACAAGCAUCGUGCUCUGACCAACUGAGCAAAUCUCAGGGUCAUUCACCUGGUGAGUAUUGAAGAUUUUUGAGUUCUAAAACAUAGACUAGGUGUACCCAUCAGGCUCAGAGGAAAAUCUCUAACAAUUAAGGACAAGUUUUCCUCAGUAUCAGUGCAAGGCAUAUCAAGAAAGUAGGAUUUGAAAAUAUAAUCAAUCUUUCUAAGGACUGAAACAAUUAGAAGUGAUAGGAAUAUAUAAAGAAAUUAAAAAGCUACUUCCAGUAGCUGUUGUAAACAGAUAUUCUUCUCCAAACAAACAUACUAAAAUCACACAUUUUUCAAAAGGUAUUUAAUUUAAGAUAUAUUCAUUGAGAUUUCUUCCUUUCCUGUAUUCUUUAUCCUUAGACUCAGGAGGGAAAAGUUUGAUAUAAGACCACAGUGCAUUAUAAUUUUUUUUUCUGUUUACAGAGUAUUUGCAACUGGAUAUCCUUCAGGGGAGUUUUCUAGGGUGUAAUUUUCAUGAAACUAGGGAGAAAUUGAAUUAUUUCCUGUCUCAAACUAAACUGAAUUUAUCUUUUACAAAAAUCUCAGUUGUUUCUUAGUGUUGCCUCCAGGUGCUGCAGUACUCUCUCCUACUGGUGAGGGCUCAUUUUCACCCUUGAGAAUUUCAGAUAAGUCACCCCAGAGAAGCAGUAGGUUAUAUAGGUUUUAAACCAUGAUUUACAGCCUAGUACCUAGAAUAAAGGGCAGUAAACCCCUGCA
rnacentral:lncRNA from 1 species